AUCUCUUUCAAACAGAUACGGCAAUUCCAUCUAUCAAAUUCCCCUGAAGAACACUCCUGCUGCCGAGAAGAAUUCACACCUUGUAGUUCGGCUGCAACCGAACUGACAAGCGAGGCAGAGAAGUGAAACGGUGGGGAACCAGUGGAGGGAGAGGCUGAAUAAAGCCCAUUAAAACACCCCGAGAAAAAUGGCUUUCAAUCACCUCCUCCAAUGCAUAGGAAUCAGUAUCCUGAUACUGGCAGGCUGUGGGUUUGCACAUCACCCCCACCAACCUUUUAAGUGGAGCCUGAUUCAGUGGGAAAGCCAAAAGGUCAUUGCAACCCAGAUAACAGUAGGAGGACCAAGUUUUAACGCCACCCUAUGUCAGCUGGUUCCGAGGCCCCGAUGUUGGGAAUAUAUGGGAUUUUAUAUGUGCCCUAGUUCGAAUCCUGGAAAGGGGUACUGUAAUGCCCCUAAUCAAUAUUAUUGUAGUUACUGGGGUUGCGAGACCAUAGCUCCUAGUUGGAUACCGGGGGACGGUAUAGAUAAAUAUUUAAAGGUCCAGUGGGGUCCAUAUGGGUGUAUCCCACCAGGGGGAUGGAAACGUGGAAACUGUAAAUUCCUUUUUUUUAAUGUCACCCAACCCACGGAUGUAGGAUGGGCCCUAGGGAAAAUGUGGGGUGUAAGGUAUUGGGAACCUGGGACUGAUAGAGGAGGACUAAUAUUAAUAAAGAAGGAGGAAGUGGGAACUUCCCAGUCAGUGGGACCGAAUAAGGUACUAUUGGAGGAAGCCCCAAGAGCUAAGACUACAGAGGCCCCUGGGACAUUAACUCCUAGCGGUUCGGUAGUGGUUCCUACGGGGGGGAGAAGAGACCGGAAAUGAAAUUACAUCUGAGAAUGAAAUCAUACCUGAGAACAAUAUGUGGAAGGUUAUAAAUACUAGUUAUCAGGUAUUGAACCAAACAAAUCCAAAUAUAACCAAACGUUGCUGGCUGUGUGUUAGUAUAAGACCCCCGUACUACGAAGCUAUUGGGGAUUUAGCUAACCUCACUCGUUCAAAUGAAAGCAACCCUUCACAAUGUAACUGGGGUAAGAAUAUAGGAAUAACACUGACUCAAGUAUCUGGAAGUGGUAGGUGCGUGGGCACAGUUCCCAAAGGAAAGAGUAAGUUAUGUAAUAUCACAGAAAGUGGAGACCAGUCAGCCCAAUGGUUAAUUCCAGCUAAUAAUACUAGGUGGGUUUGUUCGUCUGUAGGGGUAACUCCUUGUCUGUCACUAAAACUUUUCAACGCGUCUCAUGAUUUUUGU